rnacentral:rRNA from 1 species
UUAAGUUAAUAAGGGCGCACGGUGGAUGCCUUGGCACUAGAAGCCGAUGAAGGACGUGACUAACGACGAAAUGCUUUGGGGAGCUGUAAGUGAGCAAUGAUCCAGAGAUGUCCGAAUGGGGGAACCCGGCAGGUAAUGCCUGUCACUCAUUACUGUUAAGGUAAUGUAGAGGAAGACGCAGUGAACUGAAACAUCUAAGUAGCUGCAGGAAGAGAAAGCAAAAGCGAUUGCCUUAGUAGCGGCGAGCGAAACGGCAAGAGGGCAAACCGAAGAGUUUACUCUUCGGGGUUGUAGGACUGCAACGUGGACUUAAAGAUUAUAGAAGAACUACCUGGGAAGGUAGGCCAAAGAGAGUAAUAGCCUCGUAUUCGAAAUAGUCUUUAUACCUAGCAGUAUCCUGAGUACGGCGAGACACGAGAAAUCUCGUCGGAAUCUGGGAGGACCAUCUCCCAACCCUAAAUACUCUCUAGUGACCGAUAGUGAACCAGUACCGUGAGGGAAAGGUGAAAAGCACCCCGGGAGGGGAGUGAAAUAGAACCUGAAACCGUGUGCCUACAACAAGUUCGAGCCCGUUAAUGGGUGAGAGCGUGCCUUUUGUAGAAUGAACCGGCGAGUUACGAUAUGAUGCGAGGUUAAGUUGAAGAGACGGAGCCGUAGGGAAACCGAGUCUUAAUAGGGCGCAUUAGUAUCAUGUCGUAGACCCGAAACCAUGUGACCUACCCAUGAGCAGGUUGAAGGUGAGGUAAAACUCACUGGAGGACCGAACCAGGGCACGUUGAAAAGUGCUUGGAUGACUUGUGGGUAGCGGUGAAAUUCCAAUCGAACCUGGAGAUAGCUGGUUCUCUCCGAAAUAGCUUUAGGGCUAGCGUCGAUGUUAAGUCUCUUGGAGGUAGAGCACUGUUUGGGUGAGGGGUCCAUCCCGGAUUACCAAUCUCAGAUAAACUCCGAAUGCCAACGAGAUAUAAUCGGCAGUCAGACUGCGAGUGCUAAGAUCCGUAGUCGAAAGGGAAACAGCCCAGACCACCAGCUAAGGUCCCAAAAUAUAUGUUAAGUGGAAAAGGAUGUGGGGUUGCACAGACAACUAGGAUGUUAGCUUGGAAGCAGCUAUUCAUUCAAAGAGUGCGUAAUAGCUCACUAGUCGAGUGACCCUGCGCCGAAAAUGUACCGGGGCUAAAACAUAUUACCGAAGCUGUGGAUACCUUUAUAGGUAUGGUAGGAGAGCGUUCUAUGUGCGAAGAAGGUGUACCGUGAGGAGUGCUGGAGCGCAUAGAAGUGAGAAUGCCGGUAUGAGUAGCGAAAGACAGGUGAGAAUCCUGUCCACCGUAAGACUAAGGUUUCCAGGGGAAGGCUCGUCCGCCCUGGGUUAGUCGGGACCUAAGGAGAGACCGAAAGGUGUAUCCGAUGGACAACAGGUUGAUAUUCCUGUACUAGAGUAUAUAGUGAUGGAGGGACGCAGUAGGCUAACUAAACCAGACGAUUGGAAGUGUCUGGCCAAGCAGUGAGGUGUGAUAUGAGUCAAAUGCUUAUAUCUAUAACAUUGAGCUGUGAUGGGGAGCGAAGUUUAGUAGCGAAGUUAGUGAUGUCACACUGCCAAGAAAAGCUUCUAGCGAUGUAUCAUACUCUACCCGUACCGCAAACCGACACAGGUAGUCGAGGCGAGUAGCCUCAGGUGAGCGAGAGAACUCUCGUUAAGGAACUCGGCAAAAUGGCCCCGUAACUUCGGGAGAAGGGGCGCUGACUUAUGGUCAGCCGCAGUGAAUAGGCCCAAGCAACUGUUUAUCAAAAACACAGCUCUCUGCUAAAUCGAAAGAUGACGUAUAGGGGGUGACACCUGCCCGGUGCUGGAAGGUUAAGAGGAGGAGUGCAAGCUCCGAAUUGAAGCCCCAGUAAACGGCGGCCGUAACUAUAACGGUCCUAAGGUAGCGAAAUUCCUUGUCGGGUA